ACGUCUACAUUAGAUACCCCUGUAGUCCCAGCCGUAACUAUGCUCGCUAGGUGUCAGGCAUGGCGCGACCGUGUCUGGUGCCGCAGGGAAGCCGUGAAGCGAGCCACCUGGGAAGUACGGCCGCAAGGCUGAACUUAAAGGAAUUGCGGGGAGCACCACAACGGGUGGAGCCUGCGGUUUAAUUGGACUCAACGCCGGGAAGCUCACCGGAUAAGACAGCGGAAUGAUUGCCGGGCUGAAGACUCUGCAUGACUAGCUG
rnacentral:rRNA from 1 species